rnacentral:rRNA from 1 species
UACGUAGGGUGCAAGCGUUAAUCGGAAUUACUGGGCGUAAAGCGUGCGCAGGCGGCUUUGCAGACAGAUGUGAAAUCCCCGGGCUUAACCUGGGAACUGCAUUUGUGACUGCAUGGCUGGAGUGCGGCAGAGGGGGAUGGAAUUCCGCGUGUAGCAGUGAAAUGCGUAGAUAUGGCGGAGGAACACCGAUGGCGAAGGCAAUCCCCUGGGCCUGCACUGACGCUCAUGCACGAAAGCGUGGGGAGCAAACAGG